AACGCAAAUUGCACUCUCUGGUAUUCCAGGGAGUAUGCCUGUUUGAGGGUUGGUUUAUAUAUAAUCAAAGUGUUGCUUUUUGUGACUUUUGGAGCUGGGUUAUCUUGACUUUUGUUUAAGAGACCUAAAAUUGAUUUUGUCAUCUUGACGUGUAUAAUCUUUUUUAUCUCGUCUUCGGAUGUCAGUUUAUUAGGUGUGAUCAUAUGUCUUGUUUCAUGCCUAUAAAUUUUUUUGAUUUCAACCUCAAAUCAGGUAAGAAUACCCGCUGAACUUAA
rnacentral:misc_RNA from 1 species